UAUAAUUUUUGACUCUCUGUCUUAUUUAAAUUUUUUUGUGAUUGAUAUUUUUAUUUUUAUUAGAUGAUAAAUCAUGAAUCUUUACGUGUGACUAAUUUUUUUUUAAUUUUUUGAAAUUUUUUUAAAUAAGACGGAUGGUUAAACGUUGGAUACGGAAA
rnacentral:pre_miRNA from 1 species